rnacentral:lncRNA from 1 species
UUAUCCAUACUGUCCACUUUUAUACAAAGUGUAGUAAUAGCUUUGAAUAUCUUUUCGAUUGUAUCUUUGUUUUCAGUCUCAGUCUGAGUAGCUUUGUCUUGAUAAAUAAUCUGCAAUAAUACUCUUAUCAGUUUUUAACAAAUAUUUUACUGAAUAUAACUCAUUAUAUUUAUUUCCAUUUUAUCUGUGUAUGUGCCUGUAUCUAUAAUGGUGUUUAAUUUUAUUUCAUUCCUCCAUUUACCAUUACUAGCUUAAAUGACAAAGUGGCCUUCUUUAUGACGCAUGUACUUGUAAUAUUUAUCCAUAACAAUUCAUAUGUUGACUAUUUCAUCCGUAUCUUUUCAUAUAUUUUCCUAACUUUAUGGCUUCUUCUUAUCUCUGCACUAUACUUUAAUAUGCACAUAUGCUUAUAAUGAAUUUGUUAAAUAAUAUAUGUUUAAUAAACACUUAUAUACUGAGUAUAAUUUAUUUUAUCCUAGCGGGAAUUCUAGUUUGUAAAUAUAUGUCCUUUGUAUUUUUAUUCGGUUAUUUGUAUUUUGAAUGUCACUAUCUAUGCUUUGUAGCUCCCAUUUUAUCGCACUUAAUAGUUCUGGGUUAACUAGUGUAGGUCUGUUUAGCGAAUAUAAACCGCCGUGAUUACAAAGUUUGUCUACUAGAUCUCUUGUUUCUAAUACUCUUAAAUAUGAACUUAAUGCCUUUUUUAAUUUUAAUUGUUCUGAUUUUGUUUGUAUAUCUCUGUAUAAAUACCAAUAUCUUAGUCGUAGUUGGUUAGCAAAAGGGUG